UUUGAAUAAAGAUCAUUAACUUGGAUUUACAAGACCAUGCUUUAAUGGGCAUGAUGUUCCUAAGUUUUAUUAAUACGAGCAUAAAUUUACAAUUUGUAUGGUUAAACUUCAUGGUUCACGCAAGUCCCAACCUUAUGAUCUAAGAUUACAUUACAAUCAAGUCAAAACGACAAGAAUAAGCUUCAAAUUGGAAAGUACAUAUCCCUUUGCCAUGAUGCUUGCCCGGCUUUUCCCUGCACUUAUUUCUACAGACUGUUACAAGUUCGUUCUAAAGCCUGCAGGGUACCUUCUAACAGCAUGAUGCAAUCUACAGAGUCCAAAAGCCAACAACAUGCCCUACAGUUGGUUUUGAAGGGUUAGACCAUGACAAAUACCAAGUUGAAAUUCAAAGCCAGCAAAGGCAUGCUUACAUACAAAUAAAUGCAUUCAUGAUUUCUCCAAUUGAUUCAAACGGACUCAGGAACACACACAAUUAGGGAACUUAUGCACGAUCCAAACAUGCUAUCAGUCCAAGCUUGUUAUCAAUGCCGAAACCUCCUGCGGAGAAGGUAGAUGAUGCACUUUCA
rnacentral:lncRNA from 1 species